UCAUUUCACUCCAUGUAUGUUUAACAAAUGACACCGCAUCGUGUACUUGCGCGUGAAUACAGCACGACAUAUUGGACAUACUGUAUCUCCUCUGUGAAUACUACGAUGAUGUGCUAGUGAGUCACCACGUGUGUAGAUUUUUCCACAAACAUCACAAACCCAUCGUGUACCAUCCUCGUGAUGAUGUCGAGGUCUUCGUCUUUCAUAACCGUGAGUGGUGUGGUGAGAUGGACGAAGGCACGAUUCGGUAUUUGAUUCUGCGCACACAAUCCAAAGUGUUUCCCAUACACACACAGCCUCAAUAGAGUGAGAUUUUUGCAUAAUAGGCAACUACUGGAAUAUCGUCUUUGCUACUUAUGUUAAGAAUUAUUAAUGUUGGUGCUACGGAGGUGGAAUAUGAGGGAUAUCCCGGAGUUCAUGGAAUUCCGCGAAACAUGGCCAUCGACAAAGACAGGCAUUGCAGGCCCAACAUUUGAAGCGUGUCUGCCUAAGUUUUCCACGUGACGUAAAUAC